rnacentral:tRNA from 1 species
ACUAUUUUGGCAGAUUAGUGCCUUGAAUUUAGAAUUCAAUUAUGUAAGUAAUUUACAAAUAGUA